CCUGGCUCAGGAUGAACGCUGGCGGCGUGCUUAACACAUGCAAGUCGAACGAUGAAGCCCAGCUUGCUGGGUGGAUUAGUGGCGAACGGGUGAGUAACACGUGAGCAACCUGCCCCUGACUCUGGGAUAACAGCCGGAAACGGUUGCUAAUACCGGAUAUGCAUCAUGGCCGCAUGGUCUGUGAUGGGAAAGAUUUUUCGGUUGGGGAUGGGCUCGCGGCCUAUCAGCUUGUUGGUGAGGUAGUGGCUCACCAAGGCGUCGACGGGUAGCCGGCCUGAGAGGGUGACCGGCCACACUGGGACUGAGACACGGCCCAGACUCCUACGGGAGGCAGCAGUGGGGAAUAUUGCACAAUGGGCGGAAGCCUGAUGCAGCAACGCCGCGUGAGGGACGACGGCCUUCGGGUUGUAAACCUCUUUUAGCAGGGAAGAAGCGAAAGUGACGGUACCUGCAGAAAAAGCGCCGGCUAACUACGUGCCAG
rnacentral:rRNA from 1 species